rnacentral:lncRNA from 1 species
GGCUGCUGGUCGUUGCUACCUGUGGUGAAGGCAUGCAUCGGGAUGGUGAAAUAACAGGUUUCCACUCUGGGAUUGUCUUCUAGGGCCAACUUUCACCAAUGGAAGUAAAAUUUGUUUUUCCAGCACUCUGGUGCACCGUCCCUGCUACCGUUCAGCCCACAGAACAGGGAUCACCUUGUAAAUGCUUUGGAACAAGAGCACCCUUCAUUCUCCAGGUUGUGUGGCUUAGUUUUGAGGGAUCCUACUCCACAGCACUGUUUUGGUACAAAAGAUAAGUCCAAACAAAGGAUAUAGACUGGGGCUAAGAACAAAUGAUCAGUCUGCAAUGACAAAGAGCUUCAUAAACUCCUGGUUAGCCCGCUUAAGUAAAGUUACUUGCAAAGAAUCUUCUGAUAUGUUAAUUAUGUUAUUCAUACUGUUUUUCUGAAUCUCAAAACAAAGUGUGAUCUUGAUUUCAA